rnacentral:rRNA from 1 species
UACGUAGGUGGCGAGCGUUGUCCGGAUUUAUUGGGCGUAAAGCGCGCGCAGGCGGUCGGCUAAGUCUGCUGUGAAAUCUCCCGGCUCAACUGGGAGGGGGCGGCGGAGACUGGCUGACUGGAGGGGCUCAGAGGCCGGUGGAAUUCCCGGUGUAGUGGUGAAAUGCGUAGAGAUCGGGAGGAACACCUGUGGCGAAGGCGGCCGGCUGGGGGUACCCUGACGCUGAGGCGCGACCGCGUGGGGAGCGAACCGG